UGGCGGCAGGCUUAACACAUGCAAGUCGAGCGGUAGCAGAUCUAGCUUGCUAGAUGCUGACGAGCGGCGGACGGGUGAGUAACGCGUAGGAACCUGCCCAGUAGUGGGGGAUAGCCCCGGGGGAAACUCGGAUUAAUACCGCAUACGCUCUACGGAGGAAAGAGGGGGCUUCGGCUCUCGCUAUUGGAUGGGCCUGCGUGAGAUUAGCUAGUUGGUGAGGUAAUGGCUCACCAAGGCGACGAUCUCUAGCUGGUCUGAGAGGAUGAUCAGCCACACUGGGACUGAGACACGGCCCAGACUCCUACGGGAGGCAGCAGUGGGGAAUAUUGCACAAUGGGCGCAAGCCUGAUGCAGCCAUGCCGCGUGUGUGAAGAAGGCUUUCGGGUUGUAAAGCACUUUCAGUGGGGAGGAAGGCCUCGUAGUUAAUAGCUGCGAGGAUUGACGUUACCCACAGAAGAAGCACCGGCUAACUCCGUG
rnacentral:rRNA from 1 species